rnacentral:rRNA from 1 species
GCAGUCGACGGCAGCACGGACUUCGGUCUGGUGGCGAGUGGCGAACGGGUGAGUAAUAUAUCGGAACGUGCCCAGUCGUGGGGGAUAACGUAGUGAAAAUUACGCUAAUACCGCAUACGAUCUAAGGAUGAAAGCGGGGGAUCGCAAGACCUCGCGCGAUUGGAGCGGCCGAUAUCAGAUUAGGUAGUUGGUGAGGUAAAGGCUCACCAAGCCAACGAUCUGUAGCUGGUCUGAGAGGACGACCAGCCACACUGGAACUGAGACACGGUCCAGACUCCUACGGGAGGCAGCAGUGGGGAAUUUUGGACAAUGGACGCAAGUCUGAUCCAGCCAUUCCGCGUGCAGGACGAAGGCCUUCGGGUUGUAAACUGCUUUUGUACAGAACGAAAAGGUCUCUAUUAAUACUGGGGGCUCAUGACGGUACUGUAAGAAUAAGCACCGGCUAACUACGUGCCAGCAGCCGCGGUAAUACGUAGGGUGCAAGCGUUAAUCGGAAUUACUGGGCGUAAAGCGUGCGCAGGCGGUUAUAUAAGACAGAUGUGAAAUCCCCGGGCUCAACCUGGGAACUGCAUUUGUGACUGUAUAGCUGGAGUGCGGCAGAGGGGGAUGGAAUUCCGCGUGUAGCAGUGAAAUGCGUAGAUAUGCGGAGGAACACCGAUGGCGAAGGCAAUCCCCUGGGCCUGCACUGACGCUCAUGCACGAAAGCGUGGGGAGCAACAGGAUUAGAUACCCUGGUAGUCACGCCCUAACGAUGUCACUGGUUGU